rfam:Variovorax sp. JS1663 JS1663_0015, whole genome shotgun sequence.
CCUCCUCGAUCUGCUGCGGGCAGAUGAAGUGGAUGUGGCUGUCGAUGCCGCCGGCGGUGACGAUGUUCCCCUCGCAACUGAUGACCUCGGUGCCCGGGCCGAUGACGAUGUCCACGCCCGGCUGCACGUCGGGAUUGCCGGCCUUGCCGAUGGCGACGAUGCGGCCGCCCUUCAGGCCGAUGUCGGCCUUGACGAUGCCCCAGUGGUCCAGGAUGAGCGCGUUGGUCAUCACGGUGUCGACCACGCCCUCGGCGCGCGUGCGCUGCGACUGCGCCAUGCCGUCGCGGAUG